CCUACGGGAGGCAGCAGUGAGGAAUAUUGGUCAAUGGGCGGAAGCCUGAACCAGCCAUGCCGCGUGAAGGUCAGUGCCCUUUGGGCUUUAAACUUCUUUUGUGCGGGAGCAAUAAUGGUCACGUGUGGCCAGACGAGAGUACCGUACGAAUAAGGAUAGGCUAACUCCGUGCCAGCAGCCGCGGUAAUACGGAGGAUCCGAGCGUUAUCCGGGUUUAUUGGGUUUAAAGGGUGCGUAGGCGGUUUGAUAAGUUAGAGGUGAAAUGUCGGGGCUCAACCACGAGACUGCCUCUAAUACUGUUGGUCUAGAGAAUAGGAGAGGUAGGCGGAAUGUAUGGUGUAGCGGUGAAAUGCUUAGAGAUCAUGCAGAACACCGAUUGCGAAGGCAGCUUACCAAACUACAUCUGACGUUGAGGCACGAAAGCGUGGGUAGCAAACAGGAUUAGAUACCCUAGUAGUC
rnacentral:rRNA from 1 species